rfam:Agaricus bisporus var. burnettii JB137-S8 unplaced genomic scaffold AGABI1scaffold_7, whole genome shotgun sequence.
CCGACCUUAGCUCAGUUGGAAGAGCGUCAGACUGUAACUGGAUACCUGAGCGCAUCUGAAUGUCGCCUGUUCGAACCAGGCAGGUCGGA